UACGUACCGUCCAAACGUUAUUCGGAAUCACUGGGCUUAAAGAGUUCGUAGGCGGCCCAGAAAGUUGGGUGUGAAAUCCCUCGGCUCGACCGAGGAAUUGCGCUCAAAACUACUGGGCUAGAGGGAGAUAGAGGUGAGCGGAACUGAUGGUGGAGCGGUGAAAUGCGUUGAUAUCAUCAGGAACACCGGAGGCGAAGGCGGCUCACUGGGUCUUUCCUGACGCUGAGGAACGAAAGCGUGGGGAGCAAACAGG
rnacentral:rRNA from 1 species